rnacentral:rRNA from 1 species
AUUGAACGCUGGCGGCAGGCCUAACACAUGCCAGUCGAGCGGAUGAAGGGAGCUUGCUCCUGGAUUCAGCGGCGGACGGGUGAGUAAUGCCUAGGAAUCUGCCUGGUAGUGGGGGAUAACGUCCGGAAACGGGCGCUAAUACCGCAUACGUCCUGAGGGAGAAAGUGGGGGAUCUUCGGACCUCACGCUAUCAGAUGAGCCUAGGUCGGAUUAGCUAGUUGGUGGGGUAAAGGCCUACCAAGGCGACGAUCCGUAACUGGUCUGAGAGGAUGAUCAGUCACACUGGAACUGAGACACGGUCCAGACUCCUACAGGAGGCAGCAGUGGGGAAUAUUGGACAAUGGGCGAAAGCCUGAUCCAGCCAUGCCGCGUGUGUGAAGAAGGUCUUCGGAUUGUAAAGCACUUUAAGUUGGGAGGAAGGGCAGUAAGUUAAUACCUUGCUGUUUUGACGUUACCAACAGAAUAAGCACCGGCUAACUUCGUG